rnacentral:rRNA from 1 species
GACGAACGCUAGCGGCGUGCUUAACACAUGCAAGUCGAACGGAAAGGCCCUGCUUUUGUGGGGUGCUCGAGUGGCGAACGGGUGAGUAACACGUGAGUAACCUGCCCUUGACUUUGGGAUAACUUCAGGAAACUGGGGCUAAUACCGGAUAGGAGCUCCUGCUGCAUGGUGGGGGUUGGAAAGUUUCGGCGGUUGGGGAUGGGCUCGCGGCUUAUCAGCUUGUUGGUGGGGUAGUGGGUUACCAAGGCUUUGACGGGUAGCCGGCCGGGGAGGGUGACCGGCCAAAGUGGGUACGGGAGGCAGCCGAGGCGCAUAGGGGAGGCAGGGGGGGGGAAUGGUCCAGAAGGGGCGGGAGCCGGAUGAAGGCCCCCGGGGUGCGAAAUGCCGUUGUUCGGGUUGAAAACCGUUUGGCCAUGACACGGGGCGGAUGACGGGAUAGGAGGAAAAAAAACCGGGUAACAACGUG